GGCCUGAUGGUCUAGUAGUAUGAUUCCUUGUUAGGGAGCACCAGCUCAUAUCGAGGAGGUCCCGGGUUCAAUUCCCGGUCAGGCCC